AGAACUGAUCAGUGGUUGCCAGAGGUGAAGGAUGGUGACGGGAAGGGGACAGAUGUGGAUAAAGGAGUGGCAUGAAGGAGAUCUUUGUAGUGACGAAAUGAAGCAAGUCACAGUCCUGGCAGAUUGAUGGGGGGACGACGAGACCCCAGCUCUGGAGCGGAGAAUGAAGAGUGUAGGUCUCCCCUACCCAGCACGGGGCUGUGGACCUGAGCAGAGAGCAGCUAGACAUGGGUGGAGGCCCAGCAUCGUGGCAUCCCCCUGGGACACCACAAAGGCAACCCAGAAGUGCCAACCCACAGCCCGCUGACCAGGCCUGAGUGAGAAGAGCAGAGCCCUGAGGCAGCCUCUCCCUGCUCAGCUCCCCCAGCCCAGCACCCACCUCAGGCACGCUGACUGCCAGCAGCAGAGAGGACAGUCACCUUGGAGUGACAGCAUGCUUUGUGCUUUCCAGCUUCUCUCCUUCCCCUGCACCAUGGCCUGUGAAGUGGAGCUCCCUGUGAGCCCAGUAGACCCGUGGGGAACUGCUACCCAGCAGUAACCUCUGAACUUCUUUUGAGUGGUGAGCUUCCCGUCCUGGGAAGAGUUCAAGCAGAAACUGAAGGAGAUCCCAGCCCAAAUGAAACAGGAGGUCGUGUGGUCCCCAGUCCUCUGAUCUCCCACCUGCUGCUGUUUCUCCAAGUCCUGCUUGCACCCACCUAGGCUGUAUGAGCACCCCACCACUCCCCAGCCUUCCUGGCCUCACCAACAGCAAAUACCUCCAUGUCUGCCACAGGAUAGUCCAGCAGCGUGGCCAGCUCUUUUCCCAGCCUUUUUUCUCCCUACCACUGAGUUCAUCAGCCAAACCAGAAUACUCCCUGGACCCGCACAGUGCACACAUUCGCACCCCCAUGCUUUGCGCAGCUGUUCCCUCUGCGGAGGAGGCUCUUUGCCUCGAGGGCACUCCUCUCCACUUUCUCAGCGGCUCCUUCGAGAUCCAGUUCACUUGCCGUCUUCCCUGGGAAGCCCUCCCAAAUUCUCUGAUUUUUCUUUACCACUGCACCUCUGUUCUGAAACUAACUUCAACCUUGCGAGGUUUGCUCGCAUAGUAACUAAUGUGCCCUACCUCACGCUAGUCUAAAAGUCUUUGAAGGUGCAGGAUCAGGUGUGAGUCAUCUUACUAAUAUUUGGCAUAGCACAUGUAUGUUGAAUGAAUUAGUGAAUCGAGACCCUAAAUUGCUGUUCACCACUACCUAGGAGAAGGCUUGUCACAAAAAUGCUCAAUAAAUAUUUGUGGAGUGAAUGAACUGUGUUUGUUACUUUAGACCU